GAUCAUGGCUCAGGAUGAACGCUAGCGGCAGGCUUAACACAUGCAAGUCGAGGGGCAGCGGGUUGUAGCAAUACAAUGCCGGCGACCGGCGAAAGGGUGAGUAACGCGUGAGCAACAUGCCCGGUACUGGAGGAUAGUCGAUGGAAACGUCGCGUAAUACUCCGUAACAACAGGGACCGCAUGAUCCUUGUUUAAGAGAUUUAUUGAUACCGGAUUGGCUCGCGUGCCAUUAGCUAGUUGGCGGGGUAACGGCCCACCAAGGCGACGAUGGCUAGGGGUUCUGAGAGGAAGGUCCCCCACAUUGGAACUGAGACACGGUCCAGACUCCUACGGGAGGCAGCAGUGAGGAAUAUUGGUCAAUGGCCGAGAGGCUGAACCAGCCAUGCCGCGUGCCGGGAGGACGGCCCUAUGGGUUGUAAACCGCUUUUGUUGGGGAGCAAUAAGGGUCACGUGUGACCUGAUGAGAGUACCCAGCGAAUAAGCAUCGGCUAACUCCGUGCCAGCCGCCGC
rnacentral:rRNA from 1 species